rnacentral:rRNA from 1 species
GACGAACGCUGGCGGCGUGCCUAACACAUGCAAGUCGAGCGAAUGAAGUUCCUUCGGGAACGGAUUUAGCGGCGGACGGGUGAGUAACACGUGGGCAACCUGCCUCAUAGAGGGGAAUAGCCUUCCGAAAGGGAGACUAAUACCGCAUAAGAUUGUAGUACCGCAUGGUAUAGCAAUUAAAGGAGCAAUCCGCUAUGAGAUGGGCCCGCGGCGCAUUAGCUAGUUGGUGAGGUAACGGCUCACCAAGGCGACGAUGCGUAGCCGACCUGAGAGGGUGAUCGGCCACAUUGGGACUGAGACACGGCCCAGACUCCUACGGGAGGCAGCAGUGGGGAAUAUUGCACAAUGGGGGAAACCCUGAUGCAGCAACGCCGCGUGAGUGAUGACGGCCUUCGGGUUGUAAAGCUCUGUCUUCAGGGACGAUAAUGACGGUACCUGAGGAGGAAGCCACGGCUAACUACGUGCCAGCAGCCGCCGUAACAC